AUGGGGAACGUACUGACCUGUUGUGUGUGCCCCAAGGACAGCCCUGAGUUUGACCAGCCGCAGGGGUCAGUGUGCCCCUCUAAGUCCGACAUCUAUGAGGCAGGAGCUGGGGACAGGAUGGCAGGAGCUGGGAACAGGAUGGCAGGAGCUGGGGACGGGAUGGCAGGGGCGCCUAUGGCUGCUGCUGUGCAGCCUGCUGAGGUGACUGUUGAAGUUGGUGAGGACCUCCACAUGUACCACAUCCAUGACCGGGAGAUGCCUGAAGCUUUGGAGUUUAACCCUUCUGCCAAUCCAGAGGCAAGCACAAUAUUCCAUGGGAACUGUCAAACAGAUGCUUUGGAGUUUAACCCUCCUGCCAAUCCAGAGGCAAGCACAAUAUUCCAGAGGAACUCUCAAACAGAUGUUAUAGAAAUAAGAAGAAGCAACUAUACAAACCACGUAUCUACUGUGCGUUUCAGUCAACAGUACAGCUCAUGUUCGACAAUACUCCUUGAUGACAGCACAGCCAGCCAGCCUUAUCUUACAAUGACAAUAAUAUCAGUGACCUUGGAGAUACAUCAUGAUAUCACGCAAAGGUGAGCCUUUUAGAAACCUGUCUUGUUAUUCUAGCUAAUUACUUUGCAAGAUAUCAAGCUCAGUGUUAGGUCACAGCUCUAGACAUCAUAAGCUGUAUUGUGCCUGCUAAAAUAUUGAAGCAAAUUAUUUGUGUUCUUUAUUCCUUAAGACUCUUAAUUCUUAAAUGAUUGAGCAUCUCAAAGAGUGUGUUUAUGUUGAUUAUAUUGAUAUUGACUGUGGUAGAAACAGAAUACUGAGAUUUUUUUUCAAAAUCUAUUUUUAGUUUAGAUUUCACAGCCUUACCACUGUUGAUAUUAUGAGCUAGAUAACGCUUUGUUGUGAGGACUGUCCCGUGCAUUGCAGAGAGUUUAGCAGCUUUCAUGGCCUCUACCAACUAGAUGUCAGUAGUAACCCUGACCCAGGUUGUAAUACCAGAAAAUAUUCCUUGAGAACAAUAUUUUUAACAGAAAUUUUCCACUGAAAAAUAACUUUUCUACAAUAAAAAGUUGAGUAAAAAGUGUGUCAUGUAUUUAUAUUAUUUAAAGUCUCUCAUGUUGAGCUUAAUAGGAGACAACUGGAUUCUCUAGAUCUUUCUUUGCAAUUUGCUUUAAAGAAGCAAUAAGAGGCUGGGCGCGGUGGCUCACUCCUGUAAUCCCAGCACUUUGGGAGGCUGAUGCGGGCAGAUCACAAGGUCAGGAGAUGGAGACCAUCCUGGGUAACAUGGAGAAAUGCCAUCUCUACUAAAAAUACAAAAACUUAGCCAGGCGUGGUGGCACGCACUGUAGUCCCAGCUAUUCUGGAGGCUGAGGCAGGAGAACAGCUUGAACCUGGGAGGUGGAGUUUGCAGUGAGCUGAGAUUGCAUCACUGCACUCCAGCCUGGGUGACAGAGCAAGACUCCGUCUCAAAAAAAUAAAAAUAAAAAAAAUAAGAUGGCUGGGCGCAGUGGUUCACACCUGUAAUCUCAGCACUUUGGGAGGCCGAGAUGGGUGGAUCACUUGAGAUCAGGAGUUUGAGAGCAGCCCCACUAACAUGGUGAAACCCGCCUCUACUAAAAGUACAAAAAAAUGACUGGGCGUGGUGGUGCUUGCCUGUAGUCCCAGCUACUUGGGAGGUUGAGACCAGAGAAUCGCUUGAACCUGGGAGGCAGAGGUUGCAGUGAGCUGAGAUCUCGCCAUUGCACCCCAGCCUAGGUGACAGAGGGAGACUCUGUCUCAAAAAAAGAAAAAAAGCACUAGUAAGAUGACCUAACCUCAUAUAAAUAUGUAGCUGGUAAAAGGUGUAUUUUUAAAGUUUUAACUUUAAAAAUAUUAACUGCCUAGUUAUGGGUAUUCUUUAAUACUAAAUCAAAACUUCACAAGUGCUAGUUUCUUAAAUUAGUUACAGUGGCAUUUUCCAUGUUAAUAAAUGUAUUCCAUCAGUACUCAUUGAUCUUUGUUGCACAUUAAAUGGAUCUUUCCCCCCAUACUUGCAUUUCUAAUGUUAUGCAUUAGUUACUUGGAAUAUAUUGGUUUAUGUUUUAUUAUGUCAAAAAUCACUUUUAGUUUAACCACCAAUCUUACUUUAAAACACCUUUAACUAUUGAAAAGCUGUCAAGCCUAGUAGCAGGAAGAAGUUUUUCAAAGUCCUCAGGAAAGCUUACAUUUUAUCGUUGGGAACAAAUACUUACUUUCCUUGAAGGGACAACCUCUCCAUUUAUUUUUGAGAAUGAUAGUUGUACUUCUUUUUUUAGACUGAGUCUCACUCUGUCACUUGGCUGGAGUGCAUUGGCAUGAUCUCAGCUCAAGCAAUCCUCUCACCUCAGACUCCUGUGUAGCUGGGACCACAGAUGUGUGGCACCACGCCAGGCUAAUUUUCUUGUAUUUUUGGUAGAGACAGGGUUUCGUUAUGUUGCCGAGGCUGGUCUCAAAUUCCUGAAGGAGCUCAAGCCAUCUGCCAGCUUUGGCCUCCGAAAGUGCUGGGCAUGAGCCACAGCGCUGGUCCAGUUGUACUUGUAAAUAAAAACGAUGUUCUGUGAAAAAAUUGGUUGUUCAGUUCACAAUUAAAUCAUGAAUUAUUUAAAAAACAAAACAAAACAAAAAAACAACAACCAUACUGCAGUCAGCAGAAGCGCUUCUUGUUAACUUUUCACUUAUUCAGAAUAUUAAGGAGACAUGUCAAGAUUUAAUAACAUUAAUUUUUACUGCUUCAUCAAAGACAUUCUUAAGUAAUUCAGGGUACCUUUUUUAACUGCAGGGGACAGUAAAGAAUAGAGUGACUACUAAUGUAAUUGGUACCACUGCCUUGAUUUAUGCUGAGAAACCAGCAGUUUUACCCAUUUUUACUUUUAUACAAUCAUGGCGAGUGUCAACGAAAAAGCAGGCAAUGACUUUGUAUUACUUUUACAAAUUUUUAAAAUUUUUAAUCAGCUUUCUCAGGUUUAAUUCAUAUGAAUCAGAACAGUGUUGACCAGGCACAGUGGCUCAGUCCUGUAAUCCCAGCACUUUGGGAGGCCGAGGCGAGCAGAUCACCUGAGGUCAGGAGUUCAAUACCAGCCUGGCCAAAAUGGUGAAACCACAUCUCUACUAAAACUAAAAUAUUUAGCCAUGUGUGGUGGUGGGCACCUGUAAUUCCAGCUACUCAGGAGGCUGAGGUAGGAGGAUCACUUGAACCCGGGAGGCAAAGAUUGCCAUGAGCCGAGAUCGCGCCAUUGCACUGCAGCUUGGGCAACUAGAGUGAAACUCGGUCUCAAAAAAAAAGAACAGUUGGCCUCUUAGGCCUUCUGGAAAGGGUCUUGGGGAUCCCGAGAGGUCCACAGAGCACAUUUGGAGAACCACUGGUUUAUCACACAGGCACAAUGCAUUAGCUUUACAAAGUUUAAAGUUCAUCAAAGACUGGCCUCUUAAAAAGGCAGAUGAGUUUUUAAUUCAAACAACAGAAAAUGCAUAAAUACAUCAUGAGACUAUACUACAGAGAACUAAAGAGAAAGGAAGCUAGGAAAUCUGAAUCACGUUUACAUUUAUUAAAGUUCAUCACUACUGCUUUGUAAAACAUUCUUGUGUUUCAGUGUGUGGUUAGAAGAGUGAAAAUAUGUUUGGUUUAUCGCCAUCGCCUGUUAGGGAGAGUCAAUACUUACAGGCACUUCUGACUGGUUAUCAUAUAAAAGACUUCACAGUACAGGACAUGAAGUGCUGAGAAAGAAGAAGUCAAGAAACCCUCUGCAAGUCAGGAUCCGGGAGAAGAUUUCGUAAAAACUGCUUUGGUAAACACCAAAGCACACAGGAGGCAUUAUUUUACUAAACAGAUACUAUAGUAAGAUAUUAACAGUUUUUGAAGUAAUGCACACUCUUAUUUUAUAGAGAUGCAGAUGGAUCUUUGAGCGUAUGUGAUGAAGAGUUAUACUCAUUUACGGUAAGUGGCACUUUUAUUGAGAUUGUAUUUUCAUCAUACACUUGUAUCUGUUUCAUGCUGAAAUCAAAGGCAUCUUUUUAAAAAUCUUCCCCAUUUCAUGUCACAUUUAGUCAUCUUAAGUGUUGUAAAAAGAAUGUGCUGCAAUAAGAACUGAUCUGCAGCUGUGUUUAGUUAGUGAGCUAGUAUGAGUAAAUAUACUACCCAAAUAACAGAAAAUGUAUCUUUUUUUUUUUUUUUUUUUUUUGAGGUGGAGUCUCUCUCUGUAGCUCAGGCUGGAGUGCAGUCAUGUGAUCUCGGCUCCCUGCAGGCUCUGCCUCCCAGGUCCCUGUUCAAGCAGAAACCUGAACCAAGUGAACAAGUUCAACAUCAUCAGUAAGAAAAACUAUCAGUGCCAUAACUCUGAUGGAAUGCACGGGGAAAGGAUUCCACAUCAUUUUUGUGCUGUAAUGGCCAAAAAUGCAUAACUUCAGUCCAAUCGUGGAAAUACAUCAGACAAACCCAAAUCGAGGAACAUUUGACAAAUACUGAUCAGUACUAGUUCAAAGUGUCACGGUUACAAAAGAUAAGGAAAGACUGAGAAACUGUCACUGCAGUCCUACAAAAUGGCAAGAGACUAAGAAAUAACUAAAUGCCCCGUGAUCCUGGAUGGCAUUUGGGAACAGAAAAAGGACAUUAGUGGAAAAAGUGGUGAAACUCCAGUAAGGACUUUAGUUUAGCUAAUAUGUUCAUUUUAAAUUAGUUAAAUAAUUUAAAUAUGUUUAAACAUUAUUGAAAUGUAUUUAAAUUAAUAAAAUUGGUUAUUUUAUGAGAUAAUUUUAAUCUAGUUAAAUAUGAGAAUGUGGAUUUCCUUGUUCUGACCGCCGUACUGUGGUUAUCUAUGAGGUGAACAUUCAGAGAGGCUGGGGGAGGAAUAAAUGGAAAUUAUACUUUUGAGUUGGAAGAGAAACCUACCCCAUCAGUCACGAAACCCUCACAUUCACGGCAGUGUGUCGGAGGUUCCAAUAUGAAUGGCAUUUCCCAGAUGUCAGUGCGAGGUCCCUGUGGAGGGAGUGGGGCUCCCUGGGAAUCUAGUGGAGAGCAUUCGGGGCUCCCUUCCUCAGGAGCCUGCCCUUCCUGCACAGAAGCAUCAGCCUCACCUCUGUAGCGCUGCUCCUCUGCCUCUCAGAACCCACUCGGCUUCAGGAAGUUUCUACUGCCAGCCUCCUUUCACAGAUACAGCCUCCAGGGACUCAGCCCUGCCUUCCCAAGUGUUCCUGCCUCUCUUGGGAAGGGAUGCUCUCAGAUUCUGCACCCCUGGACUUCCC
rnacentral:lncRNA from 10 species